rnacentral:rRNA from 1 species
UACGAAGGGGGCUAGCGUUGCUCGGAUUGACUGGGCGUAAAGGGCGCGUAGGCGGCGGACACAGUCAGACGUGAAAUUCCUGGGCUCAACCUGGGGGCUGCGUUUGAUACAUGUUCGCUUGAGUUCGGAAGAGGGUCGUGGAAUUCCCAGUGUAGAGGUGAAAUUCGUAGAUAUUCGGAAGAACACCAGUGGCGAAGGCGGCUCACUGGACCGGCAUUGACGCUGAGGUGCGAAAGCGUGGGGAGCAAACAGG